GGAAAUCCAGGAGCUGCAGGCUCAGAUUCAGGAACAGCAUGUCCAAAUCGAUGUGGAUGUUUCCAAGCCUGACCUCACGGCUGCCCUGCGUGACGUACGUCAGCAAUAUGAAAGUGUGGCUGCCAAGAACCUGCAGGAGGCAGAAGAAUGGUACAAAUCCAAGUUUGCUGACCUCUCUGAGGCUGCCAACCGGAACAAUGACGCCCUGCGCCAGGCAAAGCAGGAGUCCACUGAGUACCGGAGACAGGUGCAGUCCCUCACCUGUGAAGUGGAUGCCCUUAAAGGAACCGUGAUCCCUGGAACGCCAGAUGCGUGAAAUGGAAGAGAACUUUGCCGUUGAAGCUGCUAACUACCAAGACACUAUUGGCCGCCUGCAGGAUGAGAUUCAGAAUAUGAAGGAGGAAAUGGCUCGUCACCUUCGUGAAUACCAAGACCUGCUCAAUGUUAAGAUGGCCCUUGACAUUGAGAUUGCCACCUACAGGAAGCUGCUGGAAGGCGAGGAGAGCAGGAUUUCUCUGCCUCUUCCAAACUUUUCCUCCCUGAACCUGAGGGAAACUAAUCUGGAUUCACUCCCUCUGGUUGAUACCCACUCAAAAAGGACACUUCUGAUUAAGACGGUUGAAACUAGAGAUGGACAGGUUAUCAACGAAACUUCUCAGCAUCACGAUGACCUUGAAUAAAAAUUGCACACACUCAGUGCAGCAAUAUAUUACCAGC
rnacentral:lncRNA from 1 species